rnacentral:rRNA from 1 species
CCUACGGGGUGCAGCAGUGAGGAAUAUUGGUCAAUGGGCGGGAGCCUGAACCAGCCAAGUCGCGUGAGGGACGACGGUCCUAUGGAUUGUAAACCUCUUUUGUCGGGGAACAAAGGCGCCCACGGGUGGGCGGAUGAGUGUACCCGAAGAAAAAGCAUCGGCUAACUCCGUGCCAGCAGCCGCGGUAAUACGGAGGAUGCGAGCGUUAUCCGGAUUUAUUGGGUUUAAAGGGUGCGUAGGCGGCAAGGUAAGUCUGAUGUUAAAGCCCGGGGCUCAACUCCGGUUCGGCAUUGGAUACUAUCUAGCUAGAAUGUGGUAGAGGUAAAGGGAAUUCCUGGUGUAGCGGUGAAAUGCGUAGAUAUCAGGAGGAACAUCGGUGGCGAAAGCGCUUUACUGGACCAUUAUUGACGCUGAGGAACGAAAGCCAGGGGAGCAAAUGGGAUUAGAUACCCCAGUAGUC